rnacentral:rRNA from 1 species
UAGGGAAUCUUCCGCAAUGGACGCAAGUCUGACGGAGCAACGCCGCGUGAGUGAAGAAGGAUUUCGGUUCGUAAAACUCUGUUGUUAGAGAAGAACAGCGCAUAGAGUAACUGUUAUGCGUGUGACGGUAUCUAACCAGAAAGCCACGGCUAACUACGUGCCAGCAGCCGCGGUAAUACGUAGGUGGCAAGCGUUGUCCGGAUUUAUUGGGCGUAAAGCGAGCGCAGGCGGUCAAUUAAGUCUGAUGUGAAAGCCCCCGGCUCAACCGGGGAGGGUCAUUGGAACCUGGUUGACUUGAGUGCAGAAGAGGAGAGUGGAAUUCCAUGUGUCGCGGUGAAAGGCGUAGAUAUAUGGAGGAACACCAGUGGCGAAGGCGACUCUCUGGUCUGUAACUGACGCAGAGGCUCGAAAGCGUGUGUAGCAAACAGG